GAAAUGCGAUAAGUAAUGUGAAUUGCAGAAUUCCGUGAAUCAUCGAAUCUUUGAACGCACAUUGCGCCCUCUAGCAUUCCGGGGGGCAUGCCUGUCCGAGCGUCAUUACGCACCCUCAAGCCCGGCUUGUGUGAUGGGCCCCGGCGUCUCGUUCGCGAGACGGGCCCGAAAGGCAGCGGCGGCGUCGACCCGAUGAGCCCGAGCGUAUGGGGACUUCUGUCACACGUUCGCGGUGCGGACCGGCGCCUGCUUGACUUUUCUGAUUAUCCAGGUUGACCUCGGAUCAGGUAGGGAUACCCGCUGAACUUAAGC
rnacentral:misc_RNA from 1 species